UACGAAGGGGGCUAGCGUUGCUCGGAAUCACUGGGCGUAAAGAGUGUGUAGGCGGUGCUCUAAGUUCGGUGUGAAAUCUCCUGGCUCAACUGGGAGGGUGCGCCGGAAACUGGAGUGCUUGAGCGUGGGAGAGGAAAGCGGAAUUCCUGGUGUAGCGGUGAAAUGCGUAGAUAUCAGGAGGAACACCUGUGGUGUAGACGGCUUUCUGGACCAUAGCUGACGCUGAGACACGAAAGCGUGGGUAGCAAACAGG
rnacentral:rRNA from 1 species